UAUAUGGUAUACUUCGGCAACUGCAACAUAAACCACAAUAAUAUGAACCCUUCAAUAUUAGGUAUGGACUUAAUAGGUAGGAAUUAAACUUACACUGUUUUUAUAUGGUAUACUUCAGCAACUACAACAUAAGCCACAAAAAUAUGAACCCUUCGAUAAUACAUAGGUUUAAUUUAACCCGAUUACCCCAAACAUAAUCAGUCGAAAAGUCUUAGCCUUUUGGAAAAAUCUACUCAAACUUGUAAAAUUCCUAUAGGAAGGGGUGAUAUUAAACUGUUCCCAUUCACGAUCGCGUUUCAUAAUCAACUACAAAAUAAAAAAAACUUGAAAGGUAGGAUUUAUAAAGAAUUCUAAUUGACUUAAUAGGUAGGAAUUGAACUUACGCUGUUUUUUAUAUGGUAUACGUCGGCAACUACAACAUAAGCCACAAUAAUAUGAACCCUUCAAUAUUAGGUAUGAUUUAUCUCUAUUACCCCAAACAAUAUCAGUCGAAAAGGCUUAGCCUCUUGGUAAAAUCAACUCAAAAUUGUAAAAUCCAUAUAGGUAGGGGUGAUAUUAAACUGUUCCCAUUCACGAUACUUUAGCAACUACAACAUAAACCACUAAAAUAUGAACCCUUCAAUAAUAGGUAUAAUUUAACUGGACUACCCCAAACAUAAUCAGUCGAAAAGUCUUAGCCUCUUGGUAAAAUCUACUCAAAAUUGUAAAAUCCAUAUAGGUAGGGGUGUUAUUAAACUGUUCCCAUUGACGAUCGCGUUUCAUAAUCAACUACAAAAUAAGAAAAACUUAAAAGGUAGGAUUUAAAAAGAAUUCUAAUUGACUUAAUAGGUAGGAAUUGAACUUACGCUGUUUUUUAUAUGGUAUACGUCGGCAACUACAACAUAAGCCACAAUAAUAUGAACCCUUCAAUAUUAGGUAUGAUUUAUCUCUAUUACCCCAAACAAUAUCAGUCGAAAAGGCUUAGCCUCUUGGUAAAAUCAACUCAAAAUUGUAAAAUCCAUAUAGGUAGGGGUGUUAUUAAACUGUUCCCAUUCACGAUACUUUAGCAACUACAACAUAAACCACUAAAAUAUGAACCCUUCAAUAAUAGGUAUAAUUUAACUGGACUACCCCAAACAUAAUCAGUCGAAAAGUCUUAGCCUCUUGGUAAAAUCUACUCAAAAUUGUAAAAUCCAUAUAGGUAGGGGUGUUAUUAAACUGUUCCCAUUCACGAUCGCGUUUCAUAAUCAACUACAAAAUAAGAAAAACUUAAAAGAUAGGAUUUAAAAAGAAUUCUAAUUGACUUAAUAGGUAGGAAUUGAACUUACGCUGUUUUUUAUAUGGUAUACGUCGGCAACUACAACAUAAGCCACAAUAAUAUGAACCCUUCAAUAUUAGGUAUGAUUUAUCUCUCUUACCCCAAACAAUAUCAGUCGAAAAGGCUUAGCCUCUUGGUAAAAUCAACUCAAAAUUGUAAAAUCCAUAUAGGUAGGGGUGAUAUUAAACUGUUCCCAUUCACUAUACUUUAGCAACUACAACAUAAACCACAAUAAUAUGAACCCUUCAAUAUUAGGUAUGAUUUAUCUCUAUUACCCCAAACACUAUCAGUCGAAAAGGCUGUCUCUUGGUAAAAUCAACUCAAAAUUGUAAAAUCCAUAUAGGUAGGGGUGAUAUUAAACUGUUCCCAUUCACGAUACUUUAGCAACUACAACAUAAACCACUAAAAUAUGAACCCUUCAAUAAUAGGUAUAAUUUAACUGGACUACCCCAAACAUAAUCAGUCGAAAAGUCUUAGCCUCUUGGUAAAAUCUACUCAAAAUUUUAAAAUCCAUAUAGGUAGGGGUGUUAUUAAACUGUUCCCAUUGACGAUCGCGUUUCAUAAUCAACUACAAAAUAAGAAAAACUUAAAAGGUAGGAUUUAAAAAGAAUUCUAAUUGACUUAAUAGGUAGGAAUUGAACUUACGCUGUUUUUUAUAUGGUAUACGUCGGCAACUACAACAUAAGCCACAAUAAUAUGAACCCUUCAAUAUUAGGUAUGAUUUAUCUCUAUUACCCCAAACAAUAUCAGUCGAAAAGGCUUAGCCUCUUGGUAAAAUCAACUCAAAAUUGUAAAAUCCAUAUAGGUAGGGGUGAUAUUAAACUGUUCCCAUUCACGAUACUUUAGCAACUACAACAUAAACCACUAAAAUAUGAACCCUUCAAUAAUAGGUAUAAUUUAACUGGACUACCCCAAACAUAAUCAGUCGAAAAGGCUUAGCCUCUUGGUAAAAUCAUCUCCAAAUUGUAAAAUCCAUAUAGGUAGGGGUGAUAUUAAACUGUUCCGAUUCACGAUACUUUAGCAACUACAAAAUAAACCACAAUAAUAUGAACCCUUCAAUGAUAGGUAUAAUUUAUCUCUAUUACCCCAAACAUUAUCAGUCGAAAAGGCUUAGCCUCUUGGUAAAAUCAACUCAAAAUUGUAAAAUCCAUAUAGGUAGGGGUGAUAUUAAACUGUUCCCAUUCACGAUACUUUAGAAACUACAACAUAAACCACAAUAAUAUGAACCCUUCAAUAUUAGGUAUGAUUUAUCUCUAUUACCCCAAACAUUAUCAGUCGAAUAGGCUGACUCUUGGUAAAAUCAACUCAAAAUUGUAAAAUCCAUAUAGGUAGGGGUGAUAUUAAACUGUUCCCAUUCACGAUACUUUAGCAACUACAACAUAAACCACAAUAAUAUGAACCCUUCAAUAUUAGGUAUAAUUUAUCUCUAUUACCCCAAACAUUAUCAGUCGAAAAGGCUUAGCCUCUUGGUAAAAUCAACUCAAAAUUGUAAAAUCCAUAUAGGUAGGGGUGAUAUUAAACUGUUCCCAUUCACUAUACUUUAGCAACUACAACAUAAACCACAAUAAUAUGAACCCUUCAAUGAUAGGUAUAAUUUAUCUCUAUUACCCCAAACAUUAUCAGUCGAAAAGGCUUAGCCUCUUGGUAAAAUCAACUCAAAAUUGUAAAAUCCAUAUAGGUAGGGGUGUUAUUAAACUGUUCCCAUUGACGAUCGCGUUUCAUAAUCAACUACAAAAUAAGAAAAACUUAAAAGGUAGGAUUUAAAAAGAAUUCUAAUUGACUUAAUAGGUAGGAAUUGAACUUACGCUGUUUUUUAUAUGGUAUACGUCGGCAACUACAACAUAAGCCACAAUAAUAUGAACCCUUCAAUAUUAGGUAUGAUUUAUCUCUAUUACCCCAAACAAUAUCAGUCGAAAAGGCUUAGCCUCUUGGUAAAAUCAACUCAAAAUUGUAAAAUCCAUAUAGGUAGGGGUGAUAUUAAACUGUUCCCAUUCACGAUCGCGUUUCAUAAUCAACUACAAAAUAAAAAAACUUUAAAGGUAGGAUUUAU